rnacentral:tRNA from 1 species
UCCCGGUUAGCCCAGUUGGUAGAGUGCUCCACUAGAAAUGGAGAUGUCCCUGGUACAAUACCAGGACUAGGCG